rnacentral:rRNA from 1 species
UACGUAGGGUGCGAGCGUUGUCCGGAAUUAUUGGGCGUAAAGAGCUCGUAGGCGGUCUGUCGCGUCUGCUGUGAAAACUCGGGGCUUAACCCCGGGCCUGCAGUGGGUACGGGCAGACUAGAGUGCGGUAGGGGAGACUGGAAUUCCUGGUGUAGCGGUGAAAUGCGCAGAUAUCAGGAGGAACACCGGUGGCGAAGGCGGCAUCCUGGACCGGUAUUGACGCUGAGGCGUGAAAGCCAGGGGAGCAAACGGG